UACGUAGGGACCGAGCGUUGUCCGGAUUCAUUGGGCGUAAAGGGUGCGUAGGCGGUCGCGCAAGUCGGAUGUGAAAUCUCAGGGCUCAACCCUGAAACUGCAUUCGAUACUGCGUGGCUAGAGUGCUGGAGGGGAGACUGGAAUUUACGGUGUAGCAGUGAAAUGCGUAGAUAUCGUAAGGAAGACCAGUGGCGAAGGCGAGUCUCUGGACAGCAACUGACGCUGAGGCACGAAGGCCAGGGGAGCAAACGGG
rnacentral:rRNA from 1 species